CCCUUUUGAACACUAGUAAUACACUGACUAUGGAUAAGUACCUCAUAGAACCCCACUUUAAAAUAUCCAAACUAUCCAUC